rnacentral:rRNA from 1 species
UACGUAGGGUCCAAGCGUUGUCCGGAAUUACUGGGCGUAAAGCGUGCGCAGGCGGUUUUGUAAGUCAGAUGUGAAAUCCCCGGGCUUAACCUGGGAACUGCGUUUGAAACUACAAGGCUAGAGUGUGGCAGAGGGGGGUGGAAUUCCACGUGUAGCGGUGGAAUGCGCAGAGUAUCAGGAGGAACACCGAUGGCGAAGGCAGGUCUCUGGGCCACUACUGACGCUGAGAAGCGAAAGCGUGGGGAGCAAACAGG